rnacentral:rRNA from 1 species
UACAGGGGGGGCAAGCGUUGUUCGGAAUUACUGGGCGUAAAGGGCCAGUAGGCGGCCAACUAAGUCAGACGUGAAAUCCCUCGGCUCAACCGGGGAACUGCGUCUGAUACUGGGCGGCUUGAAUUCGGGAGAGGAAUGCGGAAUUCCAGGUGUAGCGGUGAAAUGCGUAGAUAUCUGGAGGAACACCGGUGGCGAAGGCGGCAUUCUGGACCGACAUUGACGCUGAGGCGCGAAAGCCAGGGGAGCAAACGGG